GAGGAUGGAUUUGGGCUGGGAUUGAAUGACCUGCUGGAAGACUCCAGAGAAGAUCAUGGUGUCCAGCUCAAAAGGCUGAUUCCAAGGUAGGUGGCAUUGUCAUCCUUCCAUGGGGGAGUCUGGGAGAUUUUUACCAUUGGGUCUUAGCACUUCAGCGCGUUAGUGCUCUCACCUGCGUUGGUAAUGACAUGCAAGUUGGGAGACCAGAUGUGCAGUUUGGAAGAGUGGACGUUGGCCAAGAACUCACCUCUGCUACC
rnacentral:lncRNA from 1 species